CUGUUUUGUUUACUGUGAUGUAUUAGCACCUAGACUAAUGUCUGACAUUAGUAGGCACCAAAAAAUAUUUGUAAAAUAAGUGAAUAGAACCAUAGCAAUCAGAUCUUGAAGUUCCUUCUCAUAUCUAAUUUUAGAUUAAAAGUAAAAUAAAGAAAGAAGCAAUAUUAUGAAAGUAAACCCAGCAAUAAGGACUUAUCACUAAGAAGGCAUUCAGAGCUGAGACAGGAAUUAUGGUCAAAAUUGUGAAAUCUGGAUUCAGGAAAUUCAAACAAAGAUCAGAAGAUAUAUAUUGAAAUCUCACACUGUUCCAGGUUUUGAGGAAGGUACAUCACAUGAAGAACUUGC